UACUUAGGGUGCGAGCGUUAAUCGGAAUUACUGGGUGUAAAGCGUGCGCAGGCGGUUCGUUGUGUCCGAUGUGAAAGCCCCGGGCUUAACCUGGGAAUGGCAUUGGAAACUGGCGAGCUUGAGUGCGGCAGAGGGGGGUGGAAUUCCGCGUGUAGCAGUGAAAUGCGUAGAGAUGCGGAGGAACACCGAUGGCGAAGGCAGCCCCCUGGGUCGACACUGACGCUCAGGCACGAAAGCGUGGGGAGCAAACAGG
rnacentral:rRNA from 1 species